AGCGGGAUAAGCUAAAUAAGCUUUUGGGCCCAUACCCCAAAAAUGCUGGUUAAAAUCCUCCUUCCGCUA
rnacentral:tRNA from 2 species